rnacentral:rRNA from 1 species
UACGUAGGCAGCAAGCGUUGUUCGGAGUUACUGGGCGUAAAGGGUGCGUAGGCGGUUCUCUAAGUUUGGUGUGAAAUCUCCCGGCUCAACUGGGAGGGUGCGCCGAAAACUGGAAAGCUAGAGUGUGGGAGAGGUGAGUGGAAUUCCUGGUGUAGCGGUGAAAUGCGUAGAUAUCAGGAGGAACACCGGUGGUGUAGACGGCUCACUGGACCAUUACUGACGCUGAGGCACGAAAGCGUGGGUAGCAAACAGG